rnacentral:rRNA from 1 species
UACGGAGGGUGCAAGCGUUAUCCGGAUUUAUUGGGCGUAAAGAGCUCGUAGGCGGCCUGUCGCGUCGACCGUGAAAACCCGCAGCUCAACUGCGGGCUUGCGGUCGAUACGGGCAGGCUGGAGUUCGGUAGGGGAGACUGGAAUUCCUGGUGUAGCGGUGAAAUGCGCAGAUAUCAGGAGGAACACCAGUGGCGAAGGCGACUUCCUGGCCUGUUCUUGACGCUGAGGCGCGAAAGCUAGGGGAGCAAACGGG